AGAGUUUGAUCAUGGCUCAGGAUGAACGCUAGCGGCAGGCGUAAUACAUGCAAGUCGAACGGUGAUAGCAAUAUCAUAGUGGCGCACGGGUGCGUAACACGUAUGAACCUACCUUAUACUUAGGGAUAGCCUUUGGAAACGGAGAUUAAUACCUAAUAGUACAUUUGACUGGCAUCGGUUAACUGUUAAAGAUUUAUUGGUAUAAGAUGGGCAUGCGUCCAAUUAGUUAGUUGGUGAGGUAAUGGCUCACCAAGACGAUGAUUGGUAGGGGAACCGAGAGGUUAAUCCCCCACACUGGCACUGAGAUACGGGCCAGACUCCUACGGGAGGCAGCAGUAGGGAAUAUUGGGCAAUGGAGGGAACUCUGACCCAGCCAUGCCGCGUGCAGGAUGAAGGCGUUUGCGUUGUAAACUGCUUUUAUAUAGGAAGAAAUAGUCCUUGCGAGGAAAGUUGACGGUACUAUAUGAAUAAGCACCGGCUAACUCCGUGCCAGCAGCCGCGGUAAUACGGAGGGUGCAAGCGUUGUCCGGAUUUAUUGGGUUUAAAGGGUGCGUAGGCGGUUUAUUAAGUCAGUGGUGAAAGACGGUCGCUCAACGAUUGCAGUGCCAUUGAUACUGGUAGACUUGAGUAUGGUUGAGGUAGCUGGAAUGGAUAGUGUAGCGGUGAAAUGCAUAGAUAUUAUCCAGAACACCAAUUGCGUAGGCAAGUUACUAAGUCAUAACUGACGCUGAGGCACGAAAGUGUGGGUAUCAAACAGGAUUAGAUACCCUGGUAGUCCACACUGUAUACGAUGAUAACUAACUGUUGGCUUUUGGGUCAGUGGUACAGAGAAAUCGUUAAGUUAUCCACCUGGGGAGUACGCCGGCAACGGUGAAACUCAAAUGAAUUGACGG
rnacentral:rRNA from 1 species